CCUACGGGAGGCAGCAGUAGGGAAUCUUUCACAAUGGGCGAAAGCCUGAUGGAGCAACGCCGCGUGCAGGAUGAAGGCCUUCGGGUUGUAAACUGCUUGUAUAAGCGAGAAAUAUGAUGGUAACUUAUGAAUAAGGAUCGGCUAACUACGUGCCAGCAGCCGCGGUCAUACGUAGGAUCCGAGCAUUAUCCGGAGUGACUGGGUGUAAAGAGUUGCGUAGGUGGAAUAAUAAGUAGCUAGUGAAAUCUGGUGGCUCAACCAUUCAGACUAUUAGCUAAACUGUUAAGCUCGAGACCGUUAGGGGUAACUGGAAUUUCUAGUGUAGGAGUGAAAUCCGUAGAUAUUAGAAGGAACACCAAUAGCGUAGGCAGGUUGCUGGGACGGUUCUGACACUAAGGCACGAAAGCGUAGGGAGCAAACGGGAUUAGAUACCCGUGUAGUC
rnacentral:rRNA from 1 species